rnacentral:rRNA from 1 species
UACAGAGGUCUCAAGCGUUGUUCGGAUUCAUUGGGCGUAAAGGGUGCGUAGGUGGCGCGGUAAGUCGGGUGUGAAAUCUCGGAGCUUAACUCCGAAAUUGCAUUCGAUACUGCCGUGCUCGAGGACUGGAGAGGAGACUGGAAUUCAUGGUGUAGCAGUGAAAUGCGUACAGAGUAUCAGUGGAAGGAACCAGUGGCGAAGGCGGGUCUCUGGACAGUUCCUGACACUGAGGCACGAAGGCCAGGGGAGCAAACGGG